rnacentral:tRNA from 5 species
UGGGGGAUAGUUUAAUCGGCAGAACACAUGACUCUGGAUCAUGUAGUCGGGGUUCAAAUCCCUGUCCCCCAG